CUUGUGUAUUAACUUUGUAUUUGCAUACGUUAAUAAUUAUCCUUUUCUUUAACCAUCAACUAGAGCGCCUUUGUAGAAGACAAAGAUGACUAAGUGCUCUGGCUCAUCUACUCAUAAAUCUUUUGCAGGAGAAAAGGGAAGAAAGAGAGGUCUUAGUCCUGAAUACAAAUUAAGAUGGAUCGAGCAACCUAAAACAAGGAGAAGUGGAUGGGUGGAUGUUUUAUAUAUUCAU